UCGAUGUUGAAUGAAUUAAUUGUAUUUUAAUGUUGAAUGAUGGGGAAGAAAAAUGACGGUUUUAAUUCGAAUCGUUGAACGAUUAGCUUUUCAGAGACGUUGCCCCUGGAAUCUGAAUUGAAUAAAUCGCCGUCAGGCUUGGUGAAACCUUUUCGUACUCGAGGUACAGAAAGGUUUCGUCUCGGUUUCCCUCGUACAAUCCCCUUAACUCGGAGUGGAUCGAACUCCGGUGCAUGCUCGAGGUUCUCGAGAUCGCAUCUCUUCACGAAUGCUCUCACGUGAUACCACUAUAAUGUCAUACGUCGUAACGAUCGGUGCAUAGUAAUAGUCCAAGAACAAACCUGUCACGUUACACGUGGCCAUGUAUAUGGACAAACAUGUAUACAGAUAUAAAUCAUUCCACUUAUACACGGAUGAACCUACACAGACGUGUCAACUGACCGAUCGAUCGAAUUAAUAUUCUCGAUUGUUGAAGCAUGGAAUCGAUGCACAUUGGAAUUUCUCUUGGUUGAGUGCACAAGCUGUAUUGUAAACUCCUCAAGUGGAUUUUACAUCGUACAAACGCAUCAAGUGCUGAUGUAUACACAGAUACAGAAGUCGAAGAAGAUGACCGUCACCGAGAAACGAGCCUGGUGGCAUUUCGUAAAUCUCGCCUGUUUAAACCGUAUCGGUCGGCUUUUCGAGGGUCGAGAGGUGACGGAGGCGGCGGUGGCUGCGUCUUCUUACGUUGACGCGAUAAAGCGCGGUUGAAAGGGGGUUAGGGGGAUCCGGAGGGGCCCUGGAUUGACGUCAUUCGAUGACGUCAACCAGGACCGUGUCGAAACCGCCCAGGAACCACGUGCACAGCCGAAUAUCCUGUCUACGUGACCUAGUGCAGCUGUUCACUCCGCGAAACGAAGUUUUCUAAUACGCUUUUUCCACCAUUUUUCCAACGAAUCGAGUGUAAUUCGAGAUUGGGGGAGAAAGGGAAAUUGAGAAUCUUGGUUCCUUGAGGGAUGUCUUGAAUAAUGUGGAUUAAGAGAUUGAGGAGUGUAUUGAGUAACUAUGUUUUUCUCUUCCUUGGAAUAAUGAUGGAGGU